AGUCGUAACAAGGUUUCCGUAGGUGAACCUGCGGAAGGAUCAUUGUCGAAUCCUGCAAAGCAGACGACCUGGGAACAUGUUUAACACACGGGCAUCGAGACGUGGGUAACCACGGACCGUGUCCCCCCCUGCACGGCAUCGAUCGUCCAUCGGUCGAAUCGUCGGGCAAAAAUAAAAACUCGGGCGCGGCGAAGCGCCAAGGAAUCUAACUGAAUCAGGGGUGCCUUUCUUCUUGAUGCCCCCGUACGCGGUGUGCGAUCGAGGAGCAUCGACGCCUCUAAAACAAAAACGACCCCCGGCAACGGAUAUCUCGGCUCUCGCAUCGAUGAAGAACGUAGCGAACUGCGAUACUUGGUGUGAAUUGCAGAAUCCCGUGAACCAUCGAGUCUUUGAACGCAAGUUGCGCCCGAAGCCAUCAGGCUGAUGGCACGUCUGCCUGGGCAUCACGCAUCGCGUCGCCCCCCCAAGCCUUGUGCGCGCGCGCAAAGGCUUGCGGGGGCGGAGGAUGGCUUCCUGUGCCCCUGGUGCGGCUGGCCUGAAUGCGAGUACCUUUCGACGGGUGCGACGACAAGUGGUGGUUGAGUGGCUCAACACGUGAGCUGUCGCGCGAGGUCCCGUCGAGAGAGGAUACUGCCCCGACCCUCAUCAUGCGUCGUCACGACGUGUGCCAUGGCCGCGACCCCAGGUCAGGCGGGACUACCCGCUGAGUUUAAGCAUAUCAAUAA
rnacentral:rRNA from 1 species